UUCUUUUUGGAGAGUUUGAUCCUGGCUCAGGACGAACGCUGGCGGCGUGCCUAAUACAUGCAAGUCGAGCGGACCUCAUAGGAA
rnacentral:rRNA from 1 species